UACGUAGGGUGCGAGCGUUGUCCGGCAUUAUUGGGCGUAAAGAGCUCGUAGGCGGUUUGUCGCGUCUGCUGUGAAAACCCGAGGCUCAACCUCGGGCCUGCAGUGGGUACGGGCAGACUAGAGUGCGGUAGGGGAGAUUGGAAUUCCUGGUGUAGCGGUGGAAUGCGCAGAUAUCAGGAGGAACACCAAUGGCGAAGGCAGAUCUCUGGGCCGUAACUGACGCUGAGGAGCGAAAGCAUGGGGAGCGAACAGG
rnacentral:rRNA from 1 species